CGGUGGAGGUGGUGGUUUCGGUGGAGGUGCCAGAGGCGGUGCAGGCGGCGGUGCCGGUGCAGGUGGUGGUCUUGGCCUAGGCGCAGGAAGCGGUGCCUGUGGUGGCCUUAGAGGUGGUUCAGGUGGAGGAGGAGGACUCGGUGGUGGUGCCGGAGGAGGUUCAGGUGGUGGCCUCGGAGGUGGCGCCGGUUCCGGUGGUGGACUUGGAGGUGGCGCCGGAGGAGGUGCCGAUUCAGGUGGUGGGCUCGGUGGUGGCGCAGAAGGAGGUUCAGGUGGUGGGCUCG
rnacentral:lncRNA from 1 species